GGAGAGGUGGCCGAGUGGCUGAAGGCGCACGCCUGGAAAGUGUGUAUACCGUAACCCGGUAUCGGGGGUUCGAAUCCCCCUCUCUCCG
rnacentral:tRNA from 1 species